rnacentral:rRNA from 1 species
GACGUAGGGCGCGAGCGUUGUCCGGAUUUAUUGGGCGUAAAGAGCUCGUAGGCGGCUUGUCGCGUUGUUCGUGAAAACUCACAGCUCAACUGUGGGCGUGCGGGCGAUACGGGCAGACUAGAGUACUGCAGGGGAGACUGGAAUUCCUGGUGUAGCGGUGGAAUGCGCAGAUAUCAGGAGGAACACCGGUGGCGAAGGCGGGUCUCUGGGCCGAUACUGACGCUGAGGAGCGAAAGCGUGGGGAGCGAACAGG